CCUACGGGAGGCAGCAGUGAGGAAUAUUGGUCAAUGGCCGGAAGGCUGAACCAGCCAUGCCGCGUGAAGGUCAGUGCCCUAUGGGCGUUAAACUUCUUUUGUGCGGGAGCAAUAAUGGUCACGUGUGGCCAGACGAGAGUACCGUACGAAUAAGCAUCGACUAAAUCCGUGCCAGCAGCCGCGGUGAUACGGGGGAUGCAAGCGUUAUCCGGAUUUAAUGGGGUUAAAGGGUGCGUAGGCUGUGAGGUAAGUCAGCGGUGAAAUGCCCCCGCUCAACGGGGUGAAGUGCCAUUGAUACUGGCUUGCUGGAGUGCGGAUGACGUAGGAGGAAUGUGUGGUGUAGCGGUGAAAUGCAUAGAGAUCACGCAGAACACCGAUUGCGAAGGCAGCUCACGAAUCCGCGAUUGACGCUGAUGCACGAAAGCGUGGGUAUCAAACAGGAUUAGAUACCCCUGUAGUC
rnacentral:rRNA from 1 species